AAUCGAAAGCAUAAAGAAAAUUUGGAAAGAUAAACUUGACGCGGUAGAAUCAAAAUACCAAACGAUUAAAAGGACUAAUCAGAGACUAGAAUCUGAAAUAAUGAGUUUACAUUCGAAAUUGGAUGCUAGAAAGAAAAAAGAUAGGUAGCACAAAAAGUAAGAGAAUAUGCAUAUUUAAUAGAAAUAUUUUUGCUU